rnacentral:sRNA from 1 species
GGUAGGUAUCAGGUCUGCACAGGUAAGU